UGUUAGCUACAUCCACAUUAUUAAUUACCUUGUAUUUUCCGAAGGCGUUGAUGGCGAGGAAUUACGUAAUUACAAGAGCACCGAGGCGUAUAAUUACCUGCACAGCAACAAAAUUGAUAAAGUACUGCUCAACAAACAAGGCGACUUUAUUUUUCUUAAAGCAGCUGUAGAGCCGAGCCAGAGCAUUAAUCAAGCGAAACACUUAGCAUGGGUAAUGCUAAGAGAAAGUGGAGUAGUGGAGACAGUCGGCUGUUCCUGUAUCGCUUGAUUAGGGAGAUCAUGUAGUCAUGCGGCUGCUAUUCUGUGGAAGGUGCAGAAUGCUGCGAUCAGUGGAAAGACAGGGCUUGCGUGUACAGACGAGCAGCGCAGGUGGAAUGCAGGGACAGCAAAGAACCUUGAACCUAAACGUCUAAGCCAGAUAAACUUCAGACAUCACAGGGCAGAGCAGCAGUACGAUGUGAACUCCCGGACUGCAGUGACACAAUUUCUCCCUAACACACCAUAUCACCUUACACAUCAAGA